rnacentral:lncRNA from 1 species
GGAAGGCUCAGUGACAACAGUUGCUCAGUGCUCACUGCCCAGUAUCUGCCUCCUUACCAUGCCACUAUAAUAGUUGGGAACCCAUCAACAAUUAAGCAUCUUCUAUACAAAUAUGUUGCAGACCAUCUGUAUAGUUCUCAGUUCCAGAAGAUUCCAGUAACUCACUAAGUUUUAAUAUUAUUUUUUUUUUCUUCUUAAUCUGAUGGGCUGCCCUGAGAUAAGUGAUUAAAGCAAAAAGCCUGACAUAAUUUCUUCGGAGCUAAAACUGCACAGAAGUUGCCAAUUCCUGUAUUUGUUUUCUUACAAGAAACUUGAAGCAGGCAUUUUCCACUGUUAACAAUUUUUAGGUUCUAUCAAGUCAUAUUUUUUUUUCUUUUUGGUCAGAAAAAUAUUUUGGUGAAAAUUAUUGCUAACAUAAUCUUAGAAAAUAUUUGAACAGGCAAUUCUGAAGUUUUUCCAGAGACUUGUUGGUGUUAUAGAGACCAGUAGAGAGCUGCAUGGUCAACUCAUGUCACUUCUGUCACCCUGCUGAAUGCCACAUCACACUGCCAAUGCUCAGGAGCACUGACUGCUGGCUUCUGCAAGAAUGGAAGGAAAGGAAGACAUGGACACAUUGGCUACAUCUAAACUACUAAAAAAGUUAGUCAGAGAAUUUUCCUGCAGACCAACUGGCAUGAAAGAACUUGAAUCCACGCAGCUAAACUCUCUUGCCCUCCAAAUCACGGUGGCCACAUCCAAAAUAUCUAUUGGUGAUGGUGCCUGAACUGGGCUUUGUUUGAACCCAAGCUGUGCUUUGGCAUUGUCUGGAAGAGCAUGAACAGGCUUGCACCAAAACCAUGCCAAGGACCAGUUUAGCGUACGGAUGGUUUCGGGACCAUGCCUUGCUGGUCUUGUUUAGUUUUUUUAGUGUCAGAGGGAAACCUCAGUAAUUCUGCCAGGAGUCAACAGGAAACCCUUUCUGGCCUCAGUGACCAGAAGCUGCUGAGAAGUAUAAUCAUUAGACAAGUACUAUGCAUAUGCAUGGCCCAACACUUCUACCUUGCUCCCUAUCACUGCAGGAGGAUUGGGAUAAUUCUUCUGUUUGCACCAGAUCAGAGGCAAACAUGUGAGUGCUUAGAAGAAAAUACUCCUGAACACAAGCCGUUGUUGAAGUUUACCUCUGAUGACAUCUUUGGGAAACACACUGAAACACCCCAUAGGAACAAGGAAUGCAUAAAGCCUGCAAGCUCUUUAACAGGUGGAAAAGUCAUUCUGUGA